rnacentral:rRNA from 1 species
UACGUAGGCAGCGAGCGUUGUUCGGAGUUACUGGGCGUAAAGAGCGCGCAGGCGGUCGAAUAAGUCGAGUGUGAAAGCCCCCGGCUCAACUGGGGAGGGUCAUUUGAUACUGGUCGACUCGAAGGCAGGAGAGGGAAGUGGAAUUCCCGGUGUAGUGGUGAAAUGCGUAGAUAUCGGGAGGAACACCAGUGGCGAAGGCGACUUCCUGGCCUGUUCUUGACGCUGAGGCGCGAAAGCUAGGGGAGCAAACGGG